rnacentral:lncRNA from 1 species
GUCUCCAAGGGACAUGGAGUGGGAGAGAGGACGAGAGCGUGUAACCAGAGAGAGUUAUGGAGAGCCUGGAGAGGAGCAAUGACCAAGGUCAAGGACAAGGCCUGCCCAAGAGACCUUGCAGAGUGGAGGCCAGGAGAAUAAAGACUCUCCUCCCUCCCUCCGAUCUCUGGCUCGGGCUCCUAUUGACUGAGCUAAAAACGACAAAAGUAAUGGGCCCUGUGGAUGGCGUUCACACGGGCGGCAGAGGGCAUGUGGAAAAAGGCGGAGAAGAGUGGAGGGGGGUCUGGAGCAGCAGUGAAUUAACCUCCUGUGGCAGCCAUAACACAUUGCCACAAACUUGGUGGCUUGAGACACAGACAUUUUUUCUCUCACCGUUCUGGAGGCUGGAAGCCUAAAAUCGAGUCUAAAAUCAACGGGUCCCCUCUGGAGGUUCUGAGGGAGAAUCCGUCCACGCCUCUCUCCUGGCUCCUGGGGGCUGCCAGCCAUCCUUGGCCUUUCUUGGCUUGCAGACACAUCACUCAAAUCCCUGCUUCUCUUCCCAUGGCCUUCUCCUCUGUUUUUCUCCUUCCUUCUCUUCUAAGAACACUUGCCAUUGGGUUUAGGGUGCGCCCAGCUAAUCCAGCAUGAUCUUAUAUUGAAAUCCUUAAUUCACAGCUUCUGAGUGGACAUGUCUUUCGGGAGGAGGGCACCGUUCAACCAAUACAGGCGGGCAGAUGAGAUCUGGCACAACUGUGGAAAGAUAUUCAGGCAAACACAUAGUGUAGUGCCAACGGAGCAGGAAAAAACAGUGAGUGCGUUCAUACCCAUUUUUUGUAAGAAACCCACAGGGGUGUGUAUCUAGGCAUAAAAAAAGCAAUUGCAGGAGCAGAACCAGAAGUGUUCAGAAUGGAUCCUGCUCUGUGGUAAGAUUACAGGCGAUUUUCCUUUGUCUUUAUUUAUUUAUAGUUUCUACGUUUUAAAAAAGAUGCUGCAUUACUUUUGUAAUAUGAAAAACACAAACAGCCAAAAUAAAAAGAGAGAAAGAAAAAAAGGCUGAAUGACUGACACCUGGUGUUCUGAUCGGCAUGGAAGAAUGAAAGGAGUUUGCCCACUUAUAUAAAUAUAACAAAGGCCCCAGGUGUGGUCAAGUUGUAGGUGGUUUAAUCUCAGCUGUGCUUCUCUCCCUUGAACAGGAAAGGAAAGGGCAU